AGCUCGUCUCGUGCCCCCAGCGUGAUGUGUCUUGCUGGUGGCGGCGCGGCAGCUGCGUUUUCUCCAGCAGCUCUGGCCCUCCUUCCGGCUCUCUGCCCCAGGCGGGAACUGCUCGCCCGAGGGGUGGAUGCCCCGAGGAUGUUAUUCAGUGCCAGUCAAAGUGCAGGAUGAGGGGACACUUACACAGGAUGGGAGAACAACAACAGAGAACACAGCAGUCACCACGGUGGGCUCAAGAGAUUCAUGUUCAGGAAAUGAAAGCAGCAGCAGGGUCUGAGAGCAGGUUUCUUGACAUUGAGAGGUCAUCCAUUGGACAGCUGCACAGGCCCAAGCAGGAGUCAGUAGUUUCAACAAAAGCAGCCUUCAACAUUUGCAGGUAUAUGGAUGGAGUUGGAGAAUAUCAUGCUAAGCAAAAUAAGCCAAUCUCAAAAAACCA